rnacentral:rRNA from 1 species
AAGGCGUGCGAUACAGGGUGACAGCCCCGUACACAAAAAUGCACAUACUGUGAGCUCGAUGAGUAGGGCGGGACACGUGGUAUCCUGUCUGAAUAUGGGGGGACCAUCCUCCAAGGCUAAAUACUCCUGACUGACCGAUAGUGAACCAGUACCGUGAGGGAAAGGCGAAAAGAACCCCGGCGAGGGGAGUGAAAAAGAACCUGAAACCGUGUACGUACAAGCAGUGGGAGCACAGAGCAAUCUGUGUGACUGCGUACCUUUUGUAUAAUGGGUCAGCGACUUAUAUUCUGUAGCAAGGUUAACCGAAUAGGGGAGCCGAAGGGAAACCGAGUCUUAACUGGGCGUUAAGUUGCAGGGUAUAGACCCGAAACCCGGUGAUCUAGCCAUGGGCAGGUUGAAGGUUGGGUAACACUAACUGGAGGACCGAACCGACUAAUGUUGAAAAAUUAGCGGAUGACUUGUGGCUGGGGGUGAAAGGCCAAUCAAACCGGGAGAUAGCUGGUUCUCCCCGAAAGCUAUUUAGGUAGCGCCUCGUGAAUUCAUCUCCGGGGGUAGAGCACUGUUUCGGCAAGGGGGUCAUCCCGACUUACCAACCCGAUGCAAACUGCGAAUACCGGAGAAUGUUAUCACGGGAGACACACGGCGGGUGCUAACGUCCGUCGUGAAGAGGGAAACAACCCAGACCGCCAGCUAAGGUCCCAAAGUCAUGGUUAAGUGGGAAACGAUGUGGGAAGGCCCAGACAGCCAGGAUGUUGGCUUAGAAGCAGCCAUCAUUUAAAGAAAGCGUAAUAGCUCACUGGUCGAGUCGGCCUGCGCGGAAGAUGUAACGGGGCUAAACCAUGCACCGAAGCUGCGGCAGCGACGCUGAUGCGUUGUUGGGUAGGGGAGCGUUCUGUAAGCCUGUGAAGGUGUGCUGUGAGGCAUGCUGGAGGUAUCAGAAGUGCGAAUGCUGACAUAAGUAACGAUAAAGCGGGUGAAAAGCCCGCUCGCCGGAAGACCAAGGGUUCCUGUCCAACGUUAAUCGGGGCAGGGUGAGUCGACCCCUAAGGCGAGGCCGAAAGGCGUAGUCGAUGGGAAACAGGUUAAUAUUCCUGUACUUGGUGUUACUGCGAAGGGGGGACGGAGAAGGCUAUGUUGGCCGGGCGACGGUUGUCCCGGUUUAAGCGUGUAGGCUGGUUUUCCAGGCAAAUCCGGAAAAUCAAGGCUGAGGCGUGAUGACGAGGCACUACGGUGCUGAAGCAACAAAUGCCCUGCUUCCAGGAAAAGCCUCUAAGCAUCAGGUAACAUCAAAUCGUACCCCAAACCGACACAGGUGGUCAGGUAGAGAAUACCAAGGCGCUUGAGAGAACUCGGGUGAAGGAACUAGGCAAAAUGGUGCCGUAACUUCGGGAGAAGG